rnacentral:rRNA from 1 species
UACGGAGGGGACUAGCGUUGUUCGGAAUUACUGGGCGUAAAGGGCUCGUAGGCGGCCAACUAAGUCAGACGUGAAAUCCCUCGGCUUAACCGGGGAACUGCGUCUGAUACUGGAUGGCUUGAGUUUGGGAGAGGGAUGCGGAAUUCCAGGUGUAGCGGUGAAAUGCGUAGAUAUCUGGAGGAACACCGGUGGCGAAGGCGGCAUCCUGGACCAACACUGACGCUGAGGAGCGAAAGCCAGGGGAGCAAACGGG